UACAGAGGUGGCAAGCGUUGUUCGGAAUUACUGGGCGUAAAGGGCGCGUAGGCGGCCAUCUAAGUCAGACGUGAAAUCCCCCGGCUUAACCUGGGAACUGCGUCUGAUACUGGACGGCUUGAGUAUGGGAGAGGGAUGUAGAAUUCCAGGUGUAGCGGUGAAAUGCGUAGAUAUCUGGAGGAAUACCGGUGGCGAAGGCGGCAUCCUGGACCAUUACUGACGCGUGAGGCUGCGAAAGCUAGGGGAGCAACAGGA
rnacentral:rRNA from 1 species